GCGCAAUUGUGAUUUUCUACAUCCAAGUUUAAAUCGAAACCAACACUAUCGUCCUUUUUUAUUCCCAAUUCAACCGAAUGCUUGUCAAAUCAUACGACGCCCCAAUCACCGGCCCCCUUACCCCCGACCAUUGAUGGAGUUUCCCUUCCUUUUACCACAAUUACCACCCAUCAGACAAGAAAAUCUGGUCAAUCGUUUGACGCGCCCCACGCAUCCAUAGAGCAGUACGACCGACAAAGCAUUUCAUAUACUGACCCCGUAGCUGAUCAAAUACCUAGAACAAAUAAUAUCCCAGUUUGGACAACUAGA